ncrna:Microcoleus chthonoplastes PCC 7420 HNH endonuclease-associated RNA and ORF (HEARO) RNA
GUCAACAACCCACCGUUAAAUCGGAGUACCGAUUAUAACGGGGGCUGGUAAGAUAGCCCGAGUUGACCCGACUCAGGCAGGAAUGCCUACGUUAGUGGCAAGUGUUUAAGUUCUUACCUACGGAUGCGUAGCUAGUCUGUAGCUCUAAAACUCAAAAGUUAAACAGUCAUCUGGGAGGCAGUGCUUUUGAGAAAGUACCGACCACUAACAUUGUCUAAGCUAACAUUAC